rnacentral:rRNA from 1 species
UACGUAGGGUGCGAGCGUUGUCCGGAAUUAUUGGGCGUAAAGAGCUUGUAGGCGGUUUGUCGCGUCUGCCGUGAAAGUCCGGGGCUCAACUCCGGAUCUGCGGUGGGUACGGGCAGACUAGAGUGAUGUAGGGGAGACUGGAAUUCCUGGUGUAGCGGUGAAAUGCGCAGAUAUCAGGAGGAACACCGGUGGCGAAGGCGGGUCUCUGGGCCGUAACUGACGCUGAGGAGCGAAAGCGUGGGGAGCGAACAGG